AGUGUCGCAGGGAAACCGAUAAACACACCGCCUGGGGAGUACGACCGCAAGGUUAAAACUCAAAUGAAUUGACGGGGACCCGCACAAGUAGUGGAGCAUGUGGUUUAAUUCGAAGAUACGCGCAGAACCUUACCAACACUUGACAUGUUCGUCGCGACUCUAAGAGAUUAGAGUUUUCGGUUCGGUCGGACGAAACACAGGUGCUGCAUGGCUGUCGUCAGCUCGUGUCGUGUGAUGUUGGGUUAAGUCCCGCAACGAGCGCAACCCUCACUUUUAGUUGCCAUCAUUAAGUUGGGCACUCUGAAAGAACUGCCAGUGAUAAGCUGGAGGAAGGUGGGGAUGACGUCAAGUCCUCAUGGCCCUUACGUGUUGGGCUACACACGUGCUACAAUGGCAUCUACAACAGGAAGCAAAACGGCAACGUUAAGCAAAUCCCGAAAAGAUGCCUCAGUUCGGAUUGCACUCUGCAACUCGAGUGCAUGAAGCUGGAAUUACUAGUAAUCGUGGAUCAGCGUGCCACGGUGAAUGCGUUCCCGGGUCUUGUACACACCGCCCGUCACACCAUGGGAGUUGGUUCUACCUUAAGGCAAGGUUUCAAACCCUUGACCACGGUAUAGUCAGCGACUGGGGUGAAGUCGUAACAAGGUACC
rnacentral:rRNA from 1 species